rnacentral:rRNA from 1 species
UACAGAGGGGGCAAGCGUUGUUCGGAAUUACUGGGCGUAAAGGGCGCGUAGGCGGCCUUCUAAGUCGAACGUGAAAUCCCCGGGCUCAACCCGGGAACUGCGUCCGAUACUGGCAGGCUUGAAUCCGGGAGAGGGAUGCGGAAUUCCAGGUGUAGCGGUGAAAUGCGUAGAGAUCAUGAGGAAGACCAGUGGCGAAGGCGGGUCUCUGGACAGUUCCUGACACUGAGGCACGAAGGCCAGGGGAGCAAACGGG